UAUGGAUGAACAAAACCCAGAAUUAUCAAAUCUACCAGAACAGUUGAGCAUUGAAUUAUUUCUGUUCGUAGACUUGUAUGACAAAAUUAUUUUUAGCAGCAGAUAAUGAAGAAGGAGAAGACAAAAAAGAUGAAUAGAAAGAAGAAAAAGAAGAAACAUGCAAAAAAAUGUGGUCAUGAAUUUCGUUGAUUUCAUCAACAAUAACAUUUGUCAUGAUGAGGAAAAAGACAUUUGAAUGGUAAUAUUAUUAAUGUUUAAGUCCCUUUUUUUAUUGGAGAAACAAGAGAGUUGAAUGAUCGUCGAAAUGAUAUAACAAAUAUUUUUUUUUUUAUUUUAUGAAAGUUGUUAGGAUUCUGCACUGAUUCUGUUUUUAUCAAACUGUAUUGUUGCAUGAAAUUUGAAUAUGCAUUGUGUUGUCAUAACUGAUACAAUGUAUGAUUGACUUCAUAGAAUGCAUAUUUAACCUUUCGUA